rnacentral:snRNA from 1 species
AUCGCUUCCAGCCUUUUGGCUAAGAUCAAGUGUAGUAUCUGUUCUUAUCAGUUUACUAUCUGAUACGUCCUCUAUCCGAGGACAGCAUAUUAAAUGGAUUUUUGGAACAGGGAGAUGGAAUAGGAGCUUGCUCCGUCCACUCCACACAUCGACCUGGUAUUGCGGUACCUCCUGAAAUGGUGCACCAAAA